GGGGGGCGGUCAGUGUUUAACUGCACUGUAAUAUUUUCCGCGUUGGAAGGAUAAGGCGGUAAAAAGAAUAGCUGCUACAAACAUAUUUUUAAGCACAUAUGAUUAUUUUUUACCCCUCAAAUCAGCGGAUGUAAGCCCCAUGUUUAGUCGUUAUGAGUCAUACUAAGGACUUAUAUUCCUUAUGCACAUCUCCCAAAUAGGCACAUUUUCCCUGGAUGUGAUCACAUGUUUAAAAUAUGUGUCCGAUGUCAAGUAUUAACUUUAUAUUGUACCUGUGUAAUUCUUUAGUGUGGCUUCACGGAUGUUGUAUAACGGUACCGUCCAGCUUCCUCAAUACUUCAAGCGGCUCUCAUAAUACAUCACCCUACCCUAGAAAAGGUUUUCCGUUCACUGACCGUAUCAGGUGACUAACUAUCGCGACCGAUGUUGGUGAUGGCACUUUGUGGUUUAAAGGCCUAAUCCCUUGUUAUCUGGCAGGCGUUUAUAAAGCUAAAGGGCUGACACCGAGGCUUUGGUACUGUCGUAUCAACAUGGAAGGGUUAUGGACAGCGCGCCGUUGGGUACAACUUGGCUCAAGCUGUCGACCGAUGUCCCGAAGGUGUAGUCCCACAACAUCUGCAGACACGCACGCAAAUAUGGUGAACGGGGUGUUUCAAUUUCUUGCCGUUAUAUUUGCUUCGCCCAUCAUAUUCCUAGAGGCGGUGAUCUGGAAGUGUGUUGUUGCCAAACACUGACUUGGCAAGCGGUAGUAAAGCCGUCAUAAAGUGGCUUAAGGUUUCAAAUCAAACCAGUGUGUCGAGUGGCCACUGUAUAAAUACACUCUGAAAGCUUCUUCAACCUGCUCAAAUUCGUUUUUUCUUUGCUAGAAUAUCUCUAUAAGGAAACGGGAAAUGGUGUGUCCCCCCCCCCCCGCGCCCCGCGCCCCCCCGCCCUAGGCUCUGUGCUGGGCCCCCAGAGGUUCUGCUAGAACGUAGGACUGAUGGAUCUGAGAUUACCAAAGCAGUGAAUCCCUGCGUCUCCCAGGCCUCACUCUGGGUGUGUUGCACAUCGUUCUUAAUGGGCCUGGUCUUGUGCCGGGCAUGGUUGUCAGGAUUAGAGCAUGGCAUUUCCUUCCCAGGAACUCUCGUCAGCUACAAUGGCGGAUAAGGCCUUCCCUUUGGGCAGCUGCCAGUAUCCAUGCAGGGCGGUUCUCCCGCGCAUGUAAGCUUCCUUUAAGUCGGGAGACGAUUAUAAUCGAAUAAAGCAAUUCAUUUAAUUGUGUUUUUGUAGAUCUACUGAUGGCUUACGUAGCACAAAAACGCACUAUAGCUCUGUGAUUUUAAGUAUGGCUUGUGCGUCGUCUGGUAUUUUGAGAUGGCCACCAAACAACCUCAUGGCCUCAUGGCUACAACCUGAUUCUACCAGGUGCGUGUUGCAAGAUAUCUCUGCAUAAUACCUACUAGACCCGACUCAUUCAAGAGUAGACAAGCCCCCAAUCUUCUUUGAAACAGUUUUUGUUUUGUCAAAUAGCUUUUAUUUGAUUUAUUGUUCCCCCUAAGAGAGAGAUCCCAACCUGUAGAGCGAGCUCGAACCACAUGUGUUUUAUGAGAGCAGGAGAGAGAGUCUGCUGGCUUCCAGGCAAGGCUUGACAACAAAGGCAUGUGUGUUUAGGUGUGGCGAUGUGUGUGUGUGUGUGUGUGUGUGUGUGUGUGUGUGUGUGUGUGUGUGUGUGUAGAUGGCUGUGUAAAUGGGUAUUGAGGGUGGUGGGCUGUGUGUGUUGGAGUGUGGCGGGGGGGCGGGGGGGGGGGGGUCGACUUGCACUUGAAAAUGAGCUUGGUUCCUUUUCGAUUUUUUUCCAACAGUCUCAUAGCUGUGGCACUCUCUUGCUUCUAAACACUGCAGAGUUAAACAAAUACAGGUUGUUGCAGGUUAUAAUAGCCCUCUGUGAGCGUGUGAGAGACGGCUAGUAAAAUCAAACCACUUUUGAAGGAAAUUAUUCUGAAUCAAGACCCAUUUUAAAAUGGCGCGUUCUUCACCUAAAGGCACGUGAGCCCUUUUUGCAUGAAGUUCUGAACACUACAAGGCAGGGAAAGGCGACGCAUGCACACAACCUGCACUUUAUUCACUGUGUGUGUGGGUUGUUGCUACAGGCGAUCUCUUCGGAGAAACCUCUUGUUAACUCUAUUCUCACCGACAGUCACACGGUGAGAAAACAGAAACAGUAAGAAUGUGUUACAAGAGUAGACGGCCAAACCGCAGCGAUGGAAAUCUUGUGGAGAGCGGUGUUCUUAGAAACGGUUUGCCGCGCGUCUUGCUACAAGUGCUGUCUUGUCUGUAGUUGAACUCGGGGCACCAGCGAAGUUUUCACACAUGGUGUAUAGGUGGAUGUGGUGGGCGGGGGUGUAAGCACCUGUCUGAGUGAUGAGGUGAGAUUGAGCGAUAAAUCAUCGCAUAGCUUGGUACUGGCAGACUCAUGGUGAGCUUACAUCAUGGGAAAAGCCUUUUAUUUUUAUUUUAUAUGUUUUUGAUCUGAACGACAUCUGGUGGACCACCCUAACCCACGUGGAAACACACACUCACUGCCAGUGUAGCGAUUAUACCCAUUCUACCCGAGCUCAGAUGGUUAGAUUAUACACUGUUGUCAUGGAUGGCGGCAGGUGAUGUGUGUGACCAGGACCUCAACCCGAUUCUCCAACUUUUGCUUUGGCAUGUCAAUUGGCAUGUCUGGUUGUGGACAGAGAUACUUGUGGCAGCCCGUCUAGCCAGGCAUGCUACACUGAGGCAGCUGCUCGUGGUACCAAGUCCAAAUUGAAACUUCUAUGUAUGAUAUAUAGCUAACACCUGAUAAGAGAUGAUGCAUGCUUAGUUGCCAGUGCAACCCAGCCCAACUUACAUUAUCUAUUGAUUGAAAGAGGGACAGGACCUUGUUUUAAUUGCAGGGCCUCACGAGUGGUUACGUGUUAUCCAGACCGUGCUUUUUUUGUAGCAAAGACUGACAAUACUUUUCAAGUGUCCAUGUGUCUCUGAUUUCUUCUGCUAGCUCACUGCUAUAUUAUUUAACAGCAUGCUUACUAGGGCACUAGGCUAAAGGCCACACUCACUCACUCACUCACUUGAAAGUAGACAUUUUCAAGUAUAUGAGCCUCUAGCACCUGCCAGUCGAUUGACCAAAUCCAGCAGACGGGAAGCAAUCAUAUUAGGAUGGGAGAGACAUUGUAAAGGUAAUUUGUGGGUAAUGUUUUUCCACUUGGCCCAGCGGUUCCCUAUCUCUCGGUGUCCGUCUACCCAUAUAAGUUCCACAACACAUUACAGUAUCAUUAAAUAUUUAGCCCGACUGCCAUGCCCCACUGAAUCGACCGCAAACAUUUAAUCAAUCCUCCCUUCCCUCAAAGUAAACCAACUCUCUCUGAAUUCCUGCGCAGCACUCUCUCUGUCAGAAGUGUUUGUCGUCGACACUCUCGUGUUUCCUAUCAUCGCACAAGCUCUCUUUGGCGGCGGGGCAUUCGUCUCCGUCUCCUAGGUCUGUGUGGUCAUAUGUGUGUCACUUGUGAGGUUUUUGUUUCCUCAUUGUGUGUCAGGCAUGAGUGACCAUGGGACUACAAGUCCCAUGUUUGAACAGGACCGUAGCCAUGCAAUCCAGCGAUCACCACCGCUGCGCUCAGACGAUAUGUAAUUUAGCUGCUUUGAGUCUACAGGCGCUGCAGAGUGAUAUUGUUUUGCUUGGGCCAUGUGGUGGAGCCUUCCGGCCCCUGAUCCUCUCACCGACUGGAGAGCCAUGUGUUUGUGUGUCAGUGUAUUCUGGGGACCGCUGCGGGUUUGAUGAUUGAUCUCUGCUGCAGAGUAGACAGGGGGGGGGGGCCUUCGGAGACCGCAUGCCAUGAGGCCAAACGUCAGACAACAAGACAGGAUGGAUACACUGGCCCAUCCUCGGGGCUGGGGGGGGGGGUAACCAACGCUUGUCCAGAGAGGACAGGGUUGUUUGAGGUUAGAUGGAAAAAUCGACAGGAAUGGACCGACGGAUAGAAGGGAAGAAUUUGUUUUCCAAUUUGGAAAAUACUUGAAACCUCAUGUGGCAAUAGGAUCCGGGGCGAAGCGUCUCGUAUAUGACACCUCGGCGGAAACACGAGGAGACGCAGUAGGAGGCUGGUCCAGAGAUGGUGAGAUUCUCUGCAUCACAUCGCCUCAGGCACAUUGUAAAGCGACGGGCAAUUAAGACCCCCAAUCUGGUGCGAUGGUGGACGAGACUGAGCUGUAGCACAGAGGAAGUGACAGUUCGUUGCUUCUUCCCAGUGGUAUGUUAACAAGAAAUAGGAUCUGAACACGAAGGCCCGGACUCCCACCCCGCCAUUAGCUACCGGGCAAUCUGUCCCGAUGAGAGGCAUGUUCCACGUGUACUCCCAGAGUUCAGCCCCAUUAGACACUGCAGUGCUGGUGGGUUGAGCCGAGCCUUCCUCCGAGCUUCAAGUAAAGUUAUUUUAUCUUCCACUGAGACGAGGCCUCUCCACAAGGCGGGAAAACACAGCAGGGUGCGAGACAUGAUGUUUGCCGCCUCCUUUCAUAGGGAAGUGACAGAACCCAAGGGGGAGGGAGAGAGGGAUGUGCUUCUCUUUUCUGUAUCAUUGAAAUGGAAGGAAGGAAGGAAGUCCGUAUUUUUUGUUGUUGUGGUUAACCGUGUGAAACAUAUCUUGGUCAAGGUUUGACUCGUGCAUAUAUCGAGUGACUAGUGAAGCGUUAAACCGUCGGGUCCAAUGUUAGCCAGGGUCAUGCACAGUGGAAAACUUAACGAUGAGGUCCACAUGACCUGGGUGGAAUCAAGUCAGACCAGCCUCCUAUGUUUUGGAAUGAUGCGUAGGAUGAAUCGGCAUACCAGUGGGUAGGGUCCACUGGGAGCAUGCUGCUGAUUCAUCCAUCAUACAUCUGGAUGGACACGCCCAUGGGUGAUGUCGUAAAUUUGUCCAUUUUUAAUGGCUAACCAACGUCACAUCCUGUGGUAAAACAGGCACUCCCUUUUAAUCCGAUACUCCAGAGCAUUUAGCCAUCUUAUUUAGGCAGCAUGUCGGCUUUCUGUGUUACUGUUUGGCUAUUCCCCACAGGCAGAAGGCUGGGGUAGUCGCGUAGCUCCCGUUCCAUACGUCUCCCCCAUAGCUUCUAAUGCUGACCAGCGUCCCUCCCUCUCUGGGAGGAGGGGGGCGAACCCCAAGGUCUCGUGUCCGACCAGCCGAUGCCUGCCCCGUCAGCCUAGCAACCACUUGUAAAAAGUUGUCGUCAGGGGCUGUGCACAAAGGCGCCUAGUGUAGACCGCUGGGUUUGUCCCGGUGCUGUGUGACACGUGAAACCCCCAAUCAAACCCAGCCCUGCUGCCCUGCUGCCGCGGCGGCGGCGGCUGGGUUUUACUCCUGGACAUGCUUGGCAGACGGAACACAGCGGGUUUCCAAUACUGCUAUACAAUUGGCAUGGGAAACGAGCAUUUGGGCUGCAUUGCCAAAAGCAAAAAGUACAUUAUGAACAUUGAAAUAGAACCAUGACGGGCUAAACCGGCGGCCUAAUGUAAGGUGAAAAGCACUAUACCGAGUGAUUCACCUUCAUAAAUGUAGUGUAAAAGAUGGCGUCGGCUUUUGUCAGCGAAAGCCCACCACCACCACCACCAGCUGAAGAGGAUGAUGACGACGAUGAGGAAGAGGGAUAGUUUCCCACGGUGCUGAAUGAGUCCGAGGGAUGGAUCUGUUAAUGGCUCCGAUCCUGCCUGAUCCAAUCAACUCGCUCCCUCUAGGGAUUUCCCCCUCUCUCCUGAUCCUCCCUCCCUCUGUGGCCCGACUGCUGAACAUCCUGCUUGCUCUACAACCAAUGCACGAGGACCACUAGGGAAAUUGUGCAUAUAUGGGUUAAUGCAAGCUCUGUUGCAGCUGUGACGUGUGUGUGUGUGUGUGUGUGUGUGUGUGUGUGUGUGUGUGUGUGUGUGUGUGUGUGUGUGUGUGUGUGUGUGUGUGUGUGUGUGUGUGUGUGUGUGUGUGUGUGUGUGUGUGUGUGUGUGUGUGUGUGUGUGUGUGUGUGUGUGUGUGUGUCACACCUAUAGCUGAUGUUAUUUGCAAGCAUGCUUCCCUCUGUGUGAAGCUGUUGUUUCCUGCGGAGCUCUGUGACACGUCUCUUAAUUUCUUUAUCAACACUAUAGCACCGAUCGUUCGUGCAUGCUCACUUCCCCUCAGUCCAUUUAAACUCCUUCUUUGCAUGAACUAGUGUAAAUCUUGGUUCUCUUAAACCCUUUUUAAAUAACCCUUUAAAUCACCCUUUAACUCGGUCUUUAACCCUUAACUUAUCAGUGGGAGGAGAAGAUUCCUAGCAGGAAAUUACAAAGGAAUCUUCGUAUCUUCCAGUACUUAUUGACUCGGCAGGUAAAGCCUGUGGUUCAAUUCCCUUGGCUGAAACAAAUCAGACCGGAUCAGAAAUGCAGACCGCUUUGCUCCAACAUACUAUGACCUCAGCCAAAAGACAACCUUCAUGUUUUAAAUAAACAUUUCACAACUAUAUAUAGUCUUAAUAUUUGUAUUAUUUUAUUAUUAAUCAAUCAUCUGAUCUACAUAAUCUAAAACGAUAUCUCAUCAAUUUUAUUGUAGGUAAGCAUAUUGCCCUGCGCACUCUCCCUUUAGUGAAUGUGCCUUCAUAUAAGCAACUUUGCCAAUGGACCUAUUGGCACAAACAUUCAAACUCCCCUCAGAUGAGACCAGCAAUCCCUUUCAGGGCUAUUUUCUGCGUGUUUGAGCCCUACCUACCAUCCUACUACAGUGCUCAGUGGUGAACCGGCCAUGUAGCACUACCAGGCCCCAGACACAUUGACUGAACCGCUCCAACCAAAGAGAGGCUGUGUGUCUGUGUCUGUCUUUUAAUGCUGUUACUUACGUUAGCAGUUAGCUUGUCGGGUAACAAAAGGAAUUUGGACUCAGUACUCCUCCUGAGUGUCUAUGUGGCUGAUAUAGGCUACCAUAUGGGCCAAGCCCUAGGGUGUGUGUGUUUAUGGAUGCAUAGUGGUCUUACACUGACUCACUCACUAAUAUAGUGUGGUUAAUAUAUUCCUCAUUAAAUGGCAAACCUCAGCUUUUCUAUUAUAGUAACUUAUUUGUGUGUGGAUUUGCCUUAUUAAAAUCUGUGUGUCAGACAUGGUCCAGUAAUUAAGCUGUGUGUGUGUGUGUGUGUGUGUCUGUAAAACAAGCACACAACGUAAAGUAAAAGGAGCUCCAGGUAAUUGACUUCCUCUCUCUCCUUCUUUCCUUUCCUCAUCGUCUUUCCUUGUCUCCUUUACUCAUACACACUCAACGCUCCAAAGGCCUAGGAGGGCAUCUCACUCACACACCAAUCAGGGUUUGCCUGUCUUUAGCCUCCAUCCAGAAGCAGGAAAUUGAGGCCAUUGCAGACCCUAUCCUCUCUCUCGCCCUCGCUCACCCCUCUCUCUCUCUGCUGUUUAUGCUGCCCCAUAGGAAGCCAAAGGAGCAGUGAAACGAUGAGGGAAAUGACGUUUCACAUUCCUGCUCUCCAGAACAUGCACGGUCACACACUUGAAACAGCCAGGUUAUUUUACAAAUGAGUCCACCUGAUGGGUUUUCUAGUGUCUCUCUUGUUCACGGGCGUGGUCCUCAUGUGAUCAGUCAGGUGUGUGUGUGUGUGUGUGUGAAUUUUACCUUUGUUCACUAGGCAUGUUCAGGUGCCUUGAGCAUUUGUGUAAUUGUGCACACGUGUGUGUGUGUGUGUGUGUGUGUGUGUGUGUGUGAAUGUAUGCGGGUGUGACUGCGUUCCUUUUUAAUGAUUGAUAUGGUUUCAGACAUUGCUCCUUGUUGGCCUAUUUCGUCACAGUUGUCGCGGUGAAUGGCAGUUAAGUGUGUUGCCUUAUAAGGUAAAAGUGAGCAAGGCAGGCAGGCAGGGGAGGGACAGGAAGAGCUUGUUACCGUGACAAUGCUGUCUGCUGCCGGGCUACUGGGCCGGCCUGCAACACCCGUUUAGCCACAUUGUUGCUGACAUUCUCUCUCCCUCUUUCUCCCCCUUUCUCUCUUUCUUUCUUCCUCAGCAUCUCUAGUUUCAGAUUGUUUUAUUAUUAAAAAUAUUUUCCUGAAAUACUUGGAAAAAGUUGUUUUGGGUUGUUUUGAUGUCCAAUUUGACAUACUGUACAUUUGAACUCUGCUCUUUCAAUUUUUCUUUUUGUGGUCGAGCUCCUUUCCCUUGUUACAUGACUGCUGACAGAUGACGAGUAUGAUGGGAAUGUUAAGUAUGAGAACAUGCAUUCUGAAAUGUCUGCUCAGAUAUGACACACGCAAACAAUCACUCACACACUGACACUCACACUCUCUGCCUUACUUCUUUUAAUCCUUCACUCUCAUUGUUCUGGUUUCCUGUCCUGGUUCCCUAGCCUUGCUGGUUUCCUUGCCUCCUUCCAACCCCCUCUCUGAGGAAUUUCAGCACAGAGGCGUCAUAUGGACUUUAGGCCCGCUGUGACUCUGGCGAUACAGCUGUGUGUGUAGGGGGUGAAGUUUACGUUUAAUGCUAAGUUUGUUUUUACAAGAUGUCCAUACUGAUUUCCAUUUAGCUAAUAUAACUGUAGCAACGUUUGCUGCAAGAUAGGGGUGUGUGUGUGUGUGUGUGUGUGUGUGUGUGUGUGUGUGUGUGUGUGUGUGUGUGUGUGUGUGUGUGUGUGUGUGUGUGUGUGUGUGUGUGUGUGUGUGUGUGUGUGUGUGUGUGUGACAAAC